UUAAAUCCAUUUUUGAAUCUUUCCUGAACUUGUUGGUCCCAAAAUGACCUAAAAAUGCACUUCUUAUCAAGCUCCAUUGUCGGAAUAUCUUCCAGAAGAAGUUCAUUUUUAGGACACUUUGGGACCAACAAGUUCAGGAAAGAUUUAAAAAGCGAUUUAAG
rnacentral:pre_miRNA from 1 species